AUGGAUCUCUGCUCCUCAAAGACCCAAAGGCAGUUGGAACCAGCUCUGACAGAAAGUCAAGCAGAGGAUUCAAGCAAGGAUUCUGGUUUUUUGUCUGAGCAUGAAACAGAAACUGACGGGAGUGACCAUGUUUCCUCAGAGGAGAAAAGCUGGGAAACAUCUCUGCCUUCGUCUUCCAGCUCAGAGGCUUUCAGCUAUGUUCCCUCCUGCUCAGAACCUUCACCAGCAGGUGUUGAGUGCAGAACUUUUCCAGAACUUCCUGUUUCACCUCAUCCCUUGUUUACAGAGUCUUCAGUGUCUUUCUCUCCUUCAACCGGACAUUGCACGUCUGAAGCUUCUGGAGAAGUUUCCUCUAGAUUUGAGGAUGGAGUGGACCUCGUCCCAGAACCCCAAAACACACAACCCGCCCCCUUAUUGAGGUUAAUAUCUUCUCAGUCAGACGACUUAGAAAGCACUGAGGCUUUAGCCCCAAUGUUAGACCUUUAUAUUUUUGAAAGUGACUUCAGUCUGAGCCAAGCUGUAGACCCGCUCGGAAUUCCGUGUCCUGAAUUCUGUCCAUUAUCACAAGCAGAAGAGGGGCAACUGGACCGCGGCGGUGAUGCGUGUGUCUCCAUGUGUAAUUCAGAAGGCAUCCAAACACAAUGUCAUUGUGGCUUUAGCCAGGAAAGAGCCGGAGAGGGUGAUGUGUCAGAGGAGGACCGGGAGAAAGAGUUAUGGCCCCUCGAUGUGAAUGCCUGUGAGGGGGAUUUCAUAUCUAUAAAAACUGUGAGAUCAAGGGAAGUGGAUCCUCGCUGCGACAGCCCGGAUGACCUCUGGCUGGACGCGUGUCAGUAUCUAACAGAUGAGGAUGCAGACGAUCAGGAGCAUCUGGACAACACCAGUUAUUCUGAGAUGUCAAGAGGUCACUCAGCUUUAAGUGUCCCGUCUGUUCCUGCACAAGUUUCAGAUUUCAGCCUGGAUGGUAACAAGGGGAUUGGCUGGUGCGGGGAUGACAACAGAGGUUGGAGGCCACCAAUAGAAAGGUGGCCAUCGGCGGACAGCUGGGCCAGUGCUCUCUCAGAUCUGACGGGGUUUGCCGACGCUCUACCGGAAGACUUCACAGCUGCGUUCGCAGAAGUAGGGGCUGAGAUAGAUGCUCUGACGCAGGCCUUAGAAAAAGACAAGACUUUUGAAGAGUUUGAAAGGUCACAAGAAUAUCAACGAAUAGAGCAGGAAGGAGAAAAGCUAAUCAUGGGAGUACAGGAUCAGCCUCUGAAGACUCAAAGCAUCCCUGGGAGUUCCAUUCAAUCCGAGCAAAGCUGUUUCACAUUGUGUUUUGAAGCCGGAGAGCCCAAACUCCAUGACGUUUUCUAUGAGUCAGUUUCCACCACACAGAAGUCAGAGGAGAUUCUUCAGAUCGAGGCGCCAUCUGGAAAAUAUGACAAAGGUGAAGACAUCACAUGCUUGGAUGCAGGUGGAGUCGUCAGCGGUGACGAUGAUCAGAUCCGACUGAACAUAACGGAGGAAACAGAUUUGAACAUUUCUGAAGAACUGCUACUUGAAAAGCCAUUUGGAGAGGUACUGUGUCAAGUGACAGAGGACAGCCGUUUCCCCCAGCUGUGCUCUGCAGCGGCGCCACAGGUCGAAGGUGAGGGAAACAAGUCUUCAGCGAAUCUCCGCCGUCCCCCAGAUGUGGACACACCGCAGGAGGAGCGAGCACACGCUGUUUCCGACCUUGAUGGAGCGGUACAGGUGAAGCCUCAGCCGGGGACUUUAAAGUCUCUCGUGCCCUUUGCUCCUCUUGAUAGUAGCCACUCCUGUGGGUGUCAGACAAACGGCUAUUUGGAAGGAGAGCAGUGCACGCUCUGCCAAACGCCAGAUGGAAUUACCUACAAGCCAUUUCAGGAAGGUGACGCAGGGUUGAUUCAUAAAAAGCAGCAGAAGACAAUAAAAGCAGCAGAGAAUUCAUCAGUGUGGGAUCUAUUCGAGGCCGAGUCUUUCCUCGCCGCAGGAAAACUUACACCUGAGCUCAGUUAUCUCAGAGGAGAGCUAAAAAGCAUCUCAGCAGACCAUUUAUUCGUCUCAGACGAGGACCGCAUUGCAUUUGUCACUUUAGAGUUGAAUGACCCGUUUGUCUUCAGGACUCCAAAACCAGAGCUGAAAAUGCCUCAUAAAACUCACAAGAAUCCCUCAGAGGGCAAAGCACGCUCCAAAAAGGAGAAGCCGACCGGCCAUCAUCAUGGUCCGCAGACUGCUACGACGCAGGAGAACAAAUCUCACCACGUUCUCACCCAGCAGCAAGAAAGUCACCCAGAGAAUCACACCAAUGAGAACAGUCAAGCUGGGCUUGAGAUCAAGGAGGAGAAAGAAGGGAUUGAGGCCGGUGUGAGGACUGCAGGCAAGUCGCACGGUAAGAAGAAAAAGAAGCAGAAUGCAGCACUAAAGAGCAGAGGGGAGACUUUUCCUGAUGUGGAAAAUGGAGCAAAACCAAAAACGGCAAAGGGAAGGAUCGACAUGUUUGAGGCUAAACUGGCUGCCAAAGCAGAGAAAGCUCCUAAGGAUGUGGUUAAGGCCGAGAAGAAACCUCAGGCUCCAGAACUGCAAGGAGAAACACCUCAGCGUCCCACAGAUCCAAAACUAUCAAACGACGAAGUCAUCAAAAGGUUGCGCCUGACCGGACAGGAGUUUGGCCGGUUGUCCAGUGAAUCCAAAUCACUCGAGUUUGACAAUGUAGUGAAAGGAAAAGAUGGAGUAUCUCAAAAGAAGGCGUACAGUGAGGUGGUCAAACAGAAAAUCCCUCAAAAGGAAGGUGAGAAAACAUUCACUGCACAGCUUUCCUGCAUGAUCUCCAUUUUGUUUUAUAUAUAA
ensembl:lncRNA